AUUGAACGCUGGCGGCAUGCUUUACACAUGCAAGUCGAACGGCAGCGCGGGCUUCGGCCUGGAGGCGAGUGGCGAACGGGUGAGUAAUACAUCGGCACGUGCCCAGUAGUGGGGGAUAGCUCGGCGAAAGCCGGAUUAAUCCCGCAUACGCCCUGAGGGUGAAAGCGGGGGAUCUUCGGACCUCGCGCUAUUGGAGCGGUCGAUGGCAGAUUAGCUAGUUGGUGGGGUAAAGGCCUACCAAGGCGACGAUCUGUAGCUGGUCUGAGAGGACGACCAGCCACACUGGGACUGAGACACGGCCCAGACUCCUACGGGAGGCAGCAGUGGGGAAUUUUGGACAAUGGGCGAAAGCCUGAUCCAGCAAUGCCGCGUGUGGGAUGAAGGCCUUCGGGUUGUAAAGCACUUUUGGCGGGAACGAAAAGGACUGUGCCAAUACCACGAGUCGAUGACGGUACCCGCAGAAUAAGCACCGGCUAACUACGUG
rnacentral:rRNA from 1 species